UGGCAAGUUCAUAGCCUGAUAGCAAGA
rnacentral:piRNA from 1 species